UGUGUGUGUGUGUUUGUGUGUGGGCUGAUCCGCGGCGCGUCUGACUGUCGCUCAGUUUGUAUUCAUAUUCAUCCGCAGCGGACUGAACUCAACACUCCCACAUUUAUUGACGCGUCUCACCAUUACAGCCUUUAAAUAUUAAUACAGAUCAACCAGCACGAGCUGAAAGUUAGUUUCUCGGCGGCGGAACCCGGAGCUGGAGUUCGGGAAUAUCACAUUUCAGCUCGAGCGAAAUAUUCGGGGCUGGAACUGAUGCGGGAGAUUUUUGACUCUUACUGUAACUAAAGACGCUUCAUAAACGCCACAGAUCCGACAGAAAGGCAGCGAAAUGGGGUGAUCAUCAACAGCACAAUCACCCCCAAUAUGAACUUCACUAAAACAUCGCAGAAGUUUGGCCAGUGGGCCGACAGUCGUGCAAACACAGUGUGUGUACUCGGCUUCGCCUCCGAACAACAGCUGUCCAAGUUCGCUGAGAAGUUCCAGGAGGUCAAAGAAGCUGCGAAACUGGCCAGAGAAAAAUCUCAGGAGAAGAUGGAGACGUCCAGCGAUCAGUCGCAGGUACAUGUGACAACAUGAUCGUC